AACGCACCUUGCGCUCCUUGGUAUUCCGAGGAGCAUGCCUGUUUGAGUGUCUUGAAGUCAUCAACCCCUCCCGUUUCUUUCUAUGCGGGUUGCGUGUUGGAUGUGGGGGGCCUUUGCAGCUGCAAAAAAAAGGCUGCUCCCCUUAAACGCAUCGGUUGGGCCUGUGGGUCGAACUUGACUGGGUGUUGUACAAUCCUCGCUCUGGUCAAGAUGUUCCCCCUGGAGUGCUCUGACCCCCGACCUGCCACCGUCCGUGGCGGUCAACCUAAAAAACACACACUUGGAAUCUGACCUCAAAUCAGGUAGGACUACCCGCUGAACUUAA
rnacentral:misc_RNA from 1 species